CACCCCCACCCACUUUUAAUAAAACUCGUAUCCUCUCUAUCAUUUUUUUCUAUGUGAAAGCUCGUAAAUCCAAAAUAAUGGACUCUUUCAUAUUCUCUCUCAAGAUGUGGAAUCUCAAUCAAAAUCUACGUAAGGUGCUUGAAGAUACACACUUUGGCUGAAAAGAUAUAUUUAUUUUAACAGGUCGAAGGCAGGUGUAAGUCUAGAAGGCAAACCUAAGGAAGUUUACUCUCUCAAGACUCAGCAUGUCCUCAUAUAUUUGAAAACAAAGUUUAUGUUUCUUUAGUUUCUUCUAUGAAGACUUGUAUAAGACAAUGAUGUAUUUCCUUUCAAUGUAAUGUGUGUUCUUAAGAUAUUUAAGAUGUAUGUUUAAGUUGUCUUUUAACUAUGAGACUUAGUCCUUUGUAUUCUAUAAAGGAUAUUUCUUAUUAUUAUUAA